AAGGGGGAGGGGAGGGGAGGGGAGGAGGUGUGAGGAAUAAUGAGGCGGGAGAGUCCACAUAAUAUUGGCGUAAGUAUAUAACAUAUGGGCCAACCCACACGCAACCUCUCUGUCCCACUCCUUCGCCCCAUCUUCUUCCUCCCUUCUCUCCUCUCUCCUCCAUUACUCAUCAUCUCCUCAACCUCCACCCCACAAAACGCUGCGUUUUACUUUCUCUGUAAGUCCCCGCUCUAUCUCUAUACGAUUUUCUAUUUUCUUCUUCCCUUUAUUGCCCUAAUUCUUCUCGAAUAGAUCGCGAAGAAGGUUGGUUCUCUUUGCGCGUGUCCCGUCCUCUUCUCCAUUACGCAAAACCCUAAUUGAUCAAAACCCAUUAUCUAGAUUUACGUAUAUAACCAAAUGGAGGUCAAGCUAUGGAAUGACAAGCGAGAAAGAGAAAUGUAUGAGAACUUUGCAGAACUCUAUGCUAUAAUAAAAGCCACGGAAAAGCUUGAAAAGGCUUACGUUCGUGACAUAAUUUCAUCGGCUGAGUAUGAGCCAGAAUGUCAAAAACUCAUUGCCCAUUUCAAAACCCUUGCUUCCACGCUCAAAGAUACCAUCCCUAGCAUUGAGCGCUUUGCAGACACCUACAAAAUGGAUUGCCCUGCAGCCAUCAACCGCCUUGUGACCUCCGGAGUGCCUGCCACAGUUGAGCAUCGGUCUGCUGCAGCUGCAUCAGCCACUACCUCAGCCGCCGUUGUGGCAGAGUGCGUGCAGAACUUCAUUACAGCCAUGGAUUCCUUGAAGUUGAACAUGGUGGCGGUUGAUCAGGUGCAUCCUCUGCUGUCGGACCUCUUUGCUUCUCUCAACAAGUUGAGCAUCUUGCCACCUGAUUAUGAAGGGAAGACCAAGAUGAAGGAGUGGAUUGGGAGGUUGUCAAAGAUGGGAGCUGCUGAUGAAUUAACAGAGCAGCAAGCUCGGCAGCUUCACUUUGAUCUAGAGUCAUCUUACAACUCCUUCAUGGCUGCGUUGCCUAAUGCUGGUACCUGAUUUAUUGGGAACCUUGAUGAUUGUGGAAGUGACCUCUUAUUCUGUAACACUUUACACAUUUUGGCAAAGAUGGCAUUGUGGAUCUCCAUACCAAUAUUUUGUGCGACAUGUAGCAGCAAUUGGCAGUCUCUUAACAUCUGUAUAAUCUCUCAUUUGGAGUUUGUUUAUUGUAUAUCUCAUCCCCCAUUUAUGGGUCAUCUUGGUAAUAGUAGUGUGUUUCUUCCCCUCUAUUUAGAAGACAUGGUUUUCAUAUUAUAUAUAUAUAUAUAUAUAUGAAUUUUUAUCA